UUCUUGUUUUCCUCCGCACUAUAUACACGCACGUCGUCAGCAUUACCACUGCAGAGGGAACACACAGUAAGCACAAUUGGUAAUGCCCAAAACGUCAGGUCGAGGUGUAGCGCAUGAAAAGGGAAGAAAUGGGCUACAUUCCCUGUUACAGUGAAUACGGAUGAUAUUGCUGAAACGUAUGUCAAGAAGGAGGAUUUAGCAGUAAGUAGGAAGCAGAGCGUUCUACUGAAACUGGCCCUGAAGCGCGCACACACCGCCCGUCACUCUCCCCGAGCGAAAGUACUCAACUCUACCUAAAAAAUCCUAAUAGUAAAGGGGAGGCAAGUCGUAACAUGGUAAGUGUACCGGAAGGUGCACUUGAGCAAACCA
rnacentral:rRNA from 1 species